GGGGCGGUAGCUCAGCUGGUCAGAGCAGGGGACUCAUAAUCUCCGGGUCGCGGGUUCGAGCCCCGCCCGCCCCA
rnacentral:tRNA from 1 species